AUUGAACGCUGGCGGCAUGCUUUACACAUGCAAGUCGAACGGCAGCGCGGGCUUCGGCCUGGCGGCGAGUGGCGAACGGGUGAGUAAUGCAUCGGAACGUGCCCAGUAGUGGGGGAUAGCCCGGCGAAAGCCGGAUUAAUACCGCAUACGACCUGAGGGUGAAAGCGGGGGACCGAAAGGCCUCGCGCUAUUGGAGCGGCCGAUGUCGGAUUAGCUAGUUGGUGGGGUAAAGGCUUACCAAGGCGACGAUCCGUAGCUGGUCUGAGAGGACGACCAGCCACACUGGGACUGAGACACGGUCCAGACUCCUACGGGAGGCAGCAGUGGGGAAUUUUGGACAAAGGGGGCAACCCUGAUCCAGCCAUGCCGCGUGCGGGAAGAAGGCCUUCGGGUUGUGAACCGCUUUUGUUCGGGAAGAAAUCCUCUGGGCUAAUACCCCGGGGGGAUGACGGUACCGGAAGAAUAAGCACCGGCUAACUACGUG
rnacentral:rRNA from 1 species